rnacentral:rRNA from 1 species
GACGGGGGAUGCAAGUGUUAUCCGGAAUCACUGGGCGUAAAGCGUCUGCAGGUGGUAUCCUAAGUCCACUGUUAAACCUUGAGGCUCAACCUCAAAUCUGCAUUGGAAACUAGGAGACUUGAGUAUAGUAGGGGUAGAGGGAAUUUCCAGUGGAGCGGUGAAAUGCGUAGAUAUUGGAAAGAACACCGAUGGCGAAGGCACUCUACUGGGCUAUUACUGACACUCAGAGACGAAAGCUAGGGGAGCAAAUGGG